GGUCCCAUCGUCUAGUCUGGUCUAGGACGCCAGGUUUUCAUCCUGGUAACACGGGUUCAAAUCCCGUUGGGACCACAA
rnacentral:tRNA from 4 species